rnacentral:rRNA from 1 species
UACAGAGGGGGCAAGCGUUGUUCGGAAUUACUGGGCGUAAAGGGCACGUAGGCGGCCUGUUAAGUCGAACGUGAAAUCCCUGGGCUCAACCCAGGAACUGCGUCCGAUACUGGCAGGCUUGAAUCCGGGAGAGGGAUGUGGAAUUCCAGGUGUAGCGGUGAAAUGCGUAGAUAUCUGGAGGAACACCGGUGGCGAAGGCGACAUCCUGGACCGGUAUUGACGCUGAGGCGCGAAAGCCAGGGGAGCAAACGGG